rnacentral:rRNA from 1 species
GGAAUCUUAGACAAUGGGCGCAAGCCUGAACUAGCCAUGCCGCGUGAGUGAUGAAGGCCUUAGGGUCGUUAAGCUCUUUCGCCAGAGAUGAAAAUGACAGUAUCUGGUAAAGAAACCCCCGCUAACUCCGUUCCAGCAGCCGCGGUAAUACGGAGGGGGUUAGCGUUGUUCGGAAUUACUGGGCGUAAAGCGCACGUAGGCGGAUCAGAAAGGUGGGGGUGAAAUCCCGGGGCUCAACCCCGGAACGGCCUCCAAAACUCCUGGUCUUGAGUGCGAGAGAGGUGAGUGGAAUUCCGAGUGUAGAGGUGAAAUUCGUAGAUAUUCGGAGGAACACCAGUGGCGAAGGCGGCUCACUGGCUCGAUACUGACGCUGAGGUGCGAAAGUGUGGGGAGCAAAC